UAUGUUUAGGAGGAGGUGGUAAUGCUGG
rnacentral:piRNA from 1 species